rnacentral:rRNA from 1 species
GGGUGAGUAACGCGUAAGCAACCUGCCCUCUAGAUGGGGACAACAGCUGGAAACGGCUGCUAAUACCGAAUACGUUCUUUCUGUCGCAUGGCAGAGAGAAGAAAGGGAGGCUCUUCGGAGCUUUCGCUGGAGGAGGGGCUUGCGUCUGAUUAGCUAGUUGGAGGGGUAACGGCCCACCAAGGCGACGAUCAGUAGCCGGUCUGAGAGGAUGAACGGCCACAUUGGGACUGAGACACGGCCCAGACUCCUACGGGAGGCAGCAGUGGGGAAUCUUCCGCAAUGGACGAAAGUCUGACGGAGCAACGCCGCGUGAACGAUGACGGCCUUCGGGUUGUAAAGUUCUGUUAUACGGGACGAAUGGUACGACGGUCAAUACCCGUCGUAAGUGACGGUACCGUAAGAGAAAGCCACGGCUAACUACGUGCCAGCAGCCGCGGUAAUACGUAGGUGGCAAGCGUUGUCCGGAAUUAUUGGGCGUAAAGGGCGCGCAGGCGGCGUCGUAAGUCGGUCUUAAAAGUGCGGGGCUUAACCCCGUGAGGGGACCGAAACUGCGAUGCUAGAGUAUCGGAGAGGAAAGCGGAAUUCCUAGUGUAGCGGUGAAAUGCGUAGAUAUUAGGAGGAACACCAGUGGUGAAAGCGGCUUUCUGGACGACAACUGACGCUGAGGC